CCCCUCUCAGGGUUGCAUCUGGAGAGUUUCCAGUACUCUACCAGGCUUGACUAUGGGAGGGAGACUCAAGCAGAGGCAUAACCCUUCCAUUCCUAGCUUGGGCUUUGGCUAGCGAGUGGAAGGUAAUCUGCUGAAAGU